GCCCCAGGUGCAGCUGAGCCUCGGGCCACGGGAGAAACAGCUGCCGAGCCCGAACCAGAGGCAGCCCGGACGCCUGUGCCGAGGCGAGGACUGGGCCCUGCAGAAGCGGGUUCUAGGCCAAUCCUGAAACGAGGGGUCUGCGAAAGUGGAUCAUCUAAGAGGGAAGUUCAUUCUGGGGCAAAACAUUUGAAAUCCACGCACACGAGGCCUAGCAGGAUGCGAUGCUCGGCGCAGCCGGGCCCCGCGGCCCUCCGCGGCCGGCUCUCCGGAUGCUCUGGGCUCGGUCCGUGGUCCCCCAGGUCCUUCUCAGCAGAGGGGUCUGACCGUGCAGGCCAGCACUUCCUGGACGCCGAGCAGGUGGGCAGCGCCUUGGAGAGAGGCAGGAGCGGGAGGGGGCCAGGGCGGCUCCCGGGGCUCCUGCGUGCGCAGCCUCGUCACAGCUGCCGCCCGUGCCCAGGCCUCCCUCCAGUGGCCGGCUCCUGCCACCCCAGCCAGGGCAGGGCCAGGCCCUGCAGCCCUCAGGGACACCUCCUCAAGGGCAAUAAAGCUCCCAUGGUGUCCCCCCCAUCUCCUCCCUUGUUGUUGAGACCCUCAACAGAAGGGGGAACCAAGCUCAACCCCCCCAGACUCCUCACAAAGCAGAUAGGAGGAAAAUUCCCAGAGGCUUCUAAAAGCCCCCUUCUCCCUACUUCCCGCCCAGUGCAAGCCCCUACCUCCCACCGGAGCGGCAGGUGCCUGCUUCAGCCAGAUAGAAACCCAGCCCUCUGCAAGAACAGACUGCCACCCCUCUUUGCAACCUGUUUCUGGUGAGGUUGGCUCUGUCUCCUUUCCAUCUCAUUUCUGGGGGUACAAAAGGCCAGAACCCCGAACUAUUCCAAACCUAACACAUCCUAGCCCAGGUCUUGCAUCAGGCCCCAACAGCAGCUACAGCAGGGCUGGCCCUCUGUCCCCGCGGCCAGGGUCUCAGGGGCCACCUCAUCCUUGGGGCCAGCAUGGCUGACCACGUGCUCCCCUAGAAUGUCAGGGGAACCCCAAGAUUCGGGUUGGUGGGGCACCAGCAGCACAGGCCUCUAACCAGAAGCAAGGUGGGGCAGAGAUCCCAAGCUGGUGACCUCUGGUGACCUCCCUUGGCUCCCAGGGGCUCUCAAGCCCACUCUGAGCUCCAGGAAGGUGGCGUCCGCCUCAGCACCCAACACAAAGCCCGGGCCUGAGCACUGCUCCCGGCGUGACGUCACACACCUGGCAAACCAAUCAGUGUAAUUAACCACAUCCACACACAGAAGAAGGAAACCCUGGGCCCCUCCCAAAUAAUGCAGGAAAAACAGGAGACAAAAUUCAACAUCCAGGCGUCAGAAACACUCACAAAUUAGAAGUGGAAAGGGGCUCCCUGAUAGAGCGCUCAUGGGAAGCCUUGCAAGACUUUCAGGAUCAAGAGAUUUCUGGGGGCCGGCGCCGUGGCUCACUUGGUUAAUCCUCCACCUGCAGCACCGGCAUCCCAUAUGGGCGCCGGAUUCUGUCCUGGUUGCUCCUCUUCCAGGUCAGCUCUCUGCUGUGGCCCGGGAGUGCAGUGGAGGAUGGCCCAAGUCCUUGGGCCCUGCACCCCAUGGGAGACCAGGAGAAGCACCUGGCUCCUGGCUUCAGAUUGGCGCAGCGCCGGCCGUAGCGGCCAUUUAGGGGGUGAACCAACGGCAAAGGAAGACCUUUCUCUCUGUCUCUCCCUCUCACUGUCUGUAACUCUACCUCUCAAAUAAAUAAAUAAAAUCUUAAAAAAAAAAAAGAGAG
ensembl:lncRNA